CAUCUAAUAGACCUCAGGCACCUGGCACACCUGAUGCUUAUAAAGCCCCUGAAUCUUACUUAGGUUCGUUAUCACCGCGGAAAACUCCAUCCAGUAGUUCGAUAGCUGAACGUGCAAGGAAGUAUCUUGGUGGAACACCAUUUGGACGUAGCAAGCGUGGAAAGGAGUCGUCAUACUUUGCUUCUCCAAGUCUUAACUGAACCAUAUUGUAUAUUACCCAUAAGCACCAAACCUGUGGUGGCAGGGUGGGCAGGCCUACUUCGGAAUUUCGUGGAUUGCAAUAAUUAGUAAACAUUGGAACUAAUAGGCUAGACUUUAUAUAGGAAUGGACGUCUUACUUUCCCUGCCUCCCCUGCGAUUUACAAAGUUUGGCGCCUAUGAUAUUACCUGAUAUUAUCAGUAUUGUUACACCAUGUUAGAAUAUAGAGUUGUACUUACAUGUUGUGCCUGCAUAAUGCAUGAUGCCAUCAUCACUUGUAUGUGCAACUGAUAUAUAGGGAGACAUCUGUAAAUAUAUGACAGCAUUAAAGCAUUGCCCAUAUUUUGAGAAGUUUUUAUUAGUUUAAAAUGAAAUAGCUGCCAUCUUCUGUUUUCAUUGUAAACACAACCUGCAAUCAUUACUUUCGGGAUAUUUCAAUAGAAUUUCGCAUGAUUUCCCAUUAUAAAUGCUUCCGACAGAUUUUGUUUGACAGUGAAAUAAAAACUUGUUUUUUCGA